GGCCUGUGCAUCAUUACCAUCAUUUUUUUGCCCGCGGACAAAGGGUCUUACAUACUGAGGACUGAUGACCUUUACU
rnacentral:tRNA from 1 species